rnacentral:rRNA from 1 species
AAGGUCUAAUCUGCCCCUGAUUUUAUAUUAAAGGGCUGCAGUAUAUUGACUGUACAAAGGUAGCAUAAUCAUUAGUCUUUUAAUUGAAGACUUGUAUGAAAGAUUUGAUGAAAUAUAGACUGUCUCUAAGUUAUUUAUAAAAUUUAAUUUUUUAGUUAAAAAGCUAAAAUAAUUUUAAAAGACGAGAAGACCCUAUAGAGUUUUAUAGAUUUAUUAUUUAAGAUUAUAUAUAUAAAUAAAAAUUAAAAUUAAUAAAUUUAUUUUAUUGGGGUGAUAAAAAAAUUAAAAAAACUUUUUUUAAAAAUAAACAAAAAUAAAUGAUUAAAUGAUCCAUUAAUAAUGAUUAUAAGAAAAAAUUACCUUAGGGAUAACAGCGUAAUAUUUUUUUUUAGUACAAAUAAAAAAAAAAGUUUGCGACCUCGAUGUUGGAUUAAAAUAAAAUUUAAAUGCAAAAAUUUAAAAUUUUGAUCUGUUCGAUCAUUAAAAUCUUACAUGAUCUGAGUUCAAACCGGGGGGG